CUUGAAGAGUGAUAAUGAUCUGGGCUUGCACCGUGGUCAAUACACCACAAAUAUGUUGUAGUCAGAUCAGUGCCACAAGUUCUGCCUGGUUUCCUCUGUUCUUAUAAGCAAAGCUGAUCCAUAAUAUUGAACUUUCACAUUCCACCUUUGCUGUGGCAGAAAAUUUCAUUAGGGAAAAUGCAGCUGGACUUGGAGAUGAGGAGAAGCAGCAGGAACUGUCUGGCUGCUACUCUGUGUGCCCUGUGAAAGCUCUUCAGAUGUUUUCUCACCCUUAAUUAGGACAAAAGCUAAACCUAUAAACUUCCAGAAAUGGAAAAUAGGAAAACAUUUUCCACUGAGAUAACUUCAACUCGUUCCCUUAUUAUUGCCACUUCUUUUUUUAAUAAAAAAAAGCUUUUUUUGCCAAGUCUCAUUAGCUUAAAACGUUUAAAUGAAAUAGUGAUUGGAGCCGAAUGCUAAAAUUCUUUGAACAUAUUUCUUGCCUGAGUUGGCAAGAUAAAAAGUUUUCCUUAAAAAUAUGCUGUGCUAAAUGAAUUGACCUAAUCCCAGGAGGAGAUGCAGCUUCAGCAGCUCCCUAUCCUAAAAGCAAAAAAAUUGCUUCAUCACAAAAUUCAGAUUGAGCCAAUGACCUGACCAUCUUCCAGCUCCAAGAUGAGCUGGGAAAGAGCAAGGCUGCAUUACAUGACUCAUGCUAUGGGCCAGGAUACGUACCUCGGUCUGGGGCUCAGGGGAUCACAGCCCAGUUUUUGUGGGAAUCACCUCAUUGUGCCUCUGGCCCUCAAUUUCUCAUCUAUAAAACACUUGUAAUGGUAUUUCCUGGUCUCCCAUCUACUUGUCCUGCUCACUCUGAACUCUUUAGAGCAGCCUGCCCCCUGCUUUGCUUAACCCCAACUAAGGGGGGCUCCUAGGCUGGACCCAGCCAAUGUGUUUCACUGCCAUCACCAAGAGUGGACCCACACAAUGGACUUCUGUAGUGUGGGAAGUUAGGAAAGAUGGGCUUGGGGAAAGUUUCAGGGACUGAGCAAAGCCUGUGAGGAAUCCUCUGAUCCAGCUCCGCUACUGAGCAACACGGAAUGCAAGGUUUCCACUGUGCUCAGGGUCAGGACUAAAACAAGAAAGAAAGAAGGAAGAACUGCACCGCCUGGCAACAGCAUCCAAAGACACCCAUCCUUCUGCACCAUCCCUCCUCUGCACCACAGAAACACAGCUGCCAGCAAGAGCCCUCACGCUGCUGAGUGCUCCCAUCCCACCACGGGGGGUACCCAAGAAAGGAGGUCUUAAAGCAA